rnacentral:rRNA from 1 species
AUAUCAAAUAAGCGGGAGGA